UGAGUGGUUGUGAUGGAUAGUAAAGCAAAGCUGGAAGAAUGACAAGUCUUUGAAAAGGCUGGCCAGUAUUGACCUUCCCUCAGCUAUGGCACAACAAGAAGCAUAAAUAUGAACAACAACUUAAACAAAUGAAAGGCUUAGUGAACCAAUAUCGAAAACUUUAUUGUAGCCUCAUCAGUUCUUCCCUUUGUUUUUGUUUUUUUUUAAAUGAUCUUUAUUGGUUUUACAGAUUUUACAAAUUUCACAAUUUUUUACAAAUAAAGACACUUGCGGGACUGAAAUAGACCUCAUAAUGUUUAUUAAAAAUCAUUCGUUUUGGAUUUAAGAACAUUGAACAAAUAUAUUACAACAAUUGAAGAAUGUAUAUUUAAUGAAAUUUUGAAUAGUAUUAUUCCAUAGUAUUAAGGACACAUAAAAUGUAAACAUGACAAAUGCGUGAAUAUAAAGAAAAUAUAGAUAAACCAGAAGGAGGGAGGGAAGUACAAACUUUUUUAGAGUUAAUGUAUUAUGGUUAAAAGGAAUAAGGUAUGUAUUAUGUAUUGUGAUGGUGAAAUUUGUAAAUUUAGUUUUUCCUUUUGCAUACAAUAAAGUGACACUCUUACAAGGCAGCUGUUUAAAAAAGCAAGUUGCUCCUUAUAAUUUAAACAUU